rnacentral:tRNA from 1 species
GGGUCAUUAGCUCAGCUGGCAGAGCAGUGGACUUUUAAUCCAUUGGUCGCAGGUUCGAAUCCUGCAUGACCCACCA